rnacentral:rRNA from 1 species
AUUGAACGCUGGCGGCAGGCCUAACACAUGCAAGUCGAGCGGAUGAAGGUAGCUUGCUACCUGAUUCAGCGGCGGACGGGUGAGUAAUGCCUAGGAAUCUGCCUGGUAGUGGGGGACAACGUUUCGAAAGGAACGCCAAUACCGCAUACGUCCUACGGGAGAAAGUGGGGGAUCUUCGGACCUCACGCUAUCAGAUGAGCCUAGGUACGAUUAGCUAGUUGGGGAGGUAAAGGCUCACCAAGGCGACGAUCGUUAACUGGUCUGAGAGGAUGUUCAGGCACACUGGAACUGAGACACGGGCCAGGCUCCUACGGGGGGCAGCAGUGGGGAAUAUUGGACAAGGGGCGACAGCCUGAUCCAGGCAUGCCGCGUGUGUGAAGAAGGUCUUCGGAUUGUAAAGCACGUUAAGUUGGGAGGAAGGGCAGUAAGUUAAUACCUUGCUGUUUUGACGUGACCGACAGAAUACGCACCGGCUAACUUCGUGCCAGCCGCCGCGGUAAGAC